UACGUAGGGGGCAAGCGUUGUCCGGAUUUAUUGGCGUAAAGGAGCGUGUAGGCGGCCUGAAAGGUCAGCUGUGAAAACUCGAGGCUCAACCUCCGAGACGGUCGGUUGAAACCAUCUGGCUAGAGUCCGGAAGAGGAGAGUGGAAUUCCCGGUGUAGCGGUGAAAUGCGCAGAUAUCGGGAAGAACACCCGUGGCGAAGGCGGGCUCUCUGGGACGGUACUGACGCUGAGACG
rnacentral:rRNA from 1 species